rnacentral:rRNA from 1 species
UACGUAGGGGGCAAGCGUUGUCCGGAUUAUUGGGCGUAAAGAGCGUGUAGGCGGCCAGGUAGGUCUGCUGUGAAAACUCGAGGCUUAACCUCGAGCUGUCGGCGGAAACCAUCUGGCUAGAGUCCGGAAGAGGAGAGUGGAAUUCCUGGUGUAGCGGUGAAAUGCGCAGAUAUCAGGAAGAACACCCGUGGCGAAGGCGGCUCUCUGGGACGGUACUGACGCUGAGACGCGAAAGCGUGGGGAGCGAACAGG